rnacentral:rRNA from 1 species
CAGUGACCCUGUUCAACGGCCGCGGUAUCCUAACCGUGCAAAGGUAGCGUAACCACUUGUCUUCUAAAUAAAGACCAGUAUGAAAGGCACCACGAAGACUAAACUGUCUCCCCCUUCUAAUCAGUGAACCUAAUCUCCCCGUGAAGAAGCGGGGGUAAAGCCAUAAGACGAAAAGACCCUAUGGAGCUUAAAACAUCAUAACAUUUGCCUCCUCCUCUAACUACCCCGGUAUUUCCCCCAUGGCACCCUGAUUAUAUGUUUUUGGUUGGGGUGACCGCGGAGAAAAAUCCAUCCUCCACGAUGAAGGGAAUCCCCUUAAACAAUAAGCCACAACUUUAUGUAUUAAUAAAUUAACAUCUUUGACCCAAUUACUUUGACUAACGAACCAAGUUACCCUAGGGAUAACAGCGCAAUCCACUUUGAGAGCUCCUAUCGACAAGUGGGCUUACGACCUCGAUGUUGGAUCGGGGUAGCCUAGUGGUGCAGCCGCUACUAAAGGUUCGUUUGUUCAACGAUUAAAACCCCACGUGAUC